rnacentral:lncRNA from 1 species
AUGGAAUAGUAUCAUGAAGAGAGGAGUUUGAGUUUGAAAUAUCUUUUUCUCUCUGUGUUUUCCUAUGUGAGUUCUAAGUUCAUGCAUGGAUAGUGCGGACUGUAGUCUUGGUUUAACUUUGCAGAAUAGUUUGUUUUUCACUCCCUUGCGUGUAUGCAUUGUUUGGUGAGAAUAAUCUUGUUUUAGAUUCAAGUUUUUUUUCUCUAAAAAUAGAUUGAGAGUUAGGAGAAUGUUUCUGUUUUUUUAUUGGUCAUGUCGCGUGUCAAGCUCCA